AUGGCCAGUCUUAUCCUGUCCAAAUCUUCCAGGGGCCCUCAGCUCCUCUGCUGCUUGGCCCUCUGUCUCCUGGGGGCAGGUUCAGUGGCUGCUGGAGUUACCCAGUCCCCAAGACAUGUAAUCAAAGGCCAAGGGGGGAUGGUCAUUCUGAAGUGCCACCCCAUCUCCGGACACAGAAGUGUGUACUGGUACCAGCAGACUCUGGGACAUGGCCCUCAGUUCCUCGUUGAAUAUUUUGAAAAGGAGGAGAGAGAAAAAGGGAGCAUCCCUGAUCGGUUCUCAGGAAAACAGUCCAGUGACUACAGCUCUGAGCUGACCCUGAGCGCCUUGCAACUGGGAGACUCAGCUGUGUAUCUCUGUGCCAGCAGCUUAGACACAGCCCUGCAGGAUCAAUGGCUUUCUGUACUCAAACCUCCCUGCCCCAGCUGA